CGCCGGUUUAGACAAAAAUCGGCGGAGAAUAGAUAACCCGGUCAGAAUCCGGGACGGUACCGCCACUGUAUGCGUGGAGACGCCGCACAAGACAAAUGUCAGCCAUUGGGAGCAAAUCCUGAGAAGGCCGUGCAGAGCGUUUAUGAUACGCGAGUCAGGAGACCUGCUCAAGC
rnacentral:ncRNA from 1 species